rnacentral:rRNA from 1 species
AGUGAACGCUGGCGGUAGGCCUAACACAUGCAAGUCGAACGGCAGCACAGUAAGAGCUUGCUCUUACGGGUGGCGAGUGGCGGACGGGUGAGGAAUACAUCGGAAUCUACUUUUUCGUGGGGGAUAACGUAGGGAAACUUACGCUAAUACCGCAUAUGACCUACGGGUGAAAGCAGGGGAUCUUCGGACCUUGCGCGAUUGAAUGAGCCGAUGUCGGAUUAGCUAGUUGGCGGGGUAAAGGCCCACCAAGGCGACGAUCCGUAGCUGGUCUGAGAGGAUGAUCAGCCACACGGGAACUGAGACACGGUCCAGACUCCUACGGGAGGCAGCAGUGGGGAAUAUUGGACAAUGGGCGCAAGCCUGAUCCAGCCAUACCGCGUGGGUGAAGAAGGCCUUCGGGUUGUAAAGCCCUUUUGUUGGGAAAGAAAAGCAGCAGGUUAAUACCCCGCUGUUCUGACGGUACCCAAAGAAUAAGCACCGGCUAACUUCGUG